GCGCCGGUAGCUCAGUUGGAUAGAGUGCGUGGCUACGGACCACGAGGUCGGGAGUUCGAAUCUUCUCCGGCGCGCCA
rnacentral:tRNA from 1 species